CUAUAAUUGGAAGUAAAUAUUUCCAAUAAAAAUUAAUUGACUAAUCGAUACGGUCAGAUGAAUAGCUUUUGAAAAUAUUAAAUUAUUUCUCAACAAAUCGAAUAUACCUAAUCAAUGAAAAAUGCAUAAAACUGAGUUUGCCUUAAAUUUAUUACGCAAUACGAGUAUAUCAACAAUACAGGGUUGUGUAUCCUAUUGGUUGAGUUUCCGGGCUAUAACUAACAGUGGCGUUAAACACCGAGAGAAUCAGAAGAUUACCACACUCCCUCCUCUCAAACACGAAAAUAAUAGAAUAUUUAUGUAUUC